rnacentral:lncRNA from 1 species
GAAGUAGCAACUAAUCUCUCACGAAGAUGCUACUUCUAACUAAUAUUUUCUUAUAAUUGGUGGCACGUGUAGGUUUUUUCAGAGUUAAGCAGUCUGCUCGUUUGUUACUCUGUAAUAACUCGGCUGUUACUAAUGGCACUGAAGUUGACUGGAUCGACAUCCACAAGUUCCUACACUUUAUUGAUUGUCUUGAGGUCCUUGUGGGGCGUUUCAAUGGUGGAAGGCCACGUGGGAUAUGUGUGCCACUGCUGCAUUCGUUGAACAGGUCCAACUGUGUCGAGAAACUUAUGGUACGAGCUAUUUUCUGUUAUAUAUGUUGUUCAUAAACUAUUGCUUAUACACAGUUUUACAGCUGUGAUCUUCUUGAAACAGGAACUGCCGAGUUCUAUUGUUCCUAUACAGAUGCCGGACCAUGGUCGGGUCAGACUUGCGCUUGGUCACAACAUGAUGUUUAUGUCGACCUACUCAAUUCCCCUUGGAGGUGAAAAGAUACUUAUUUGUGGGUGGUCUCAAAUAAUGAAGGUCCGUCCAUCUUGGAGAAUAGGACAGAAGAUUAUGUUCAUGCUUUUCCAUGGCUCUAAAGCGAAUAUCCUGUUUAUUGACCAUGUUGCAGAUGAAGCCGCUUUCAGAAGGUUGUGGAUGCGCGGGGUGGUGCCUGGGCCUUGUCCUGGGGCUUGGCGGCCUCACCCUUGGUUAACUAUAGGCAAAGUAGCACUAUUCGAGGCGUGCUUUGUACGGUUGGACCUGUAUAAGUACUCAUACUGCUUCCGGCUUUGGUUGUAAAGUGCCCCUGCUGGUUUCAGUUAAGGUUGUUAAGUGUGACGCCCUCGAUUCAAUCGUACACUAAUCAUACACGCAAAUGUGUACGAUCAAGAUCAAGGACUCACGGGAAGAUAUCACAACACAACUCUAGACACAAAUUAAAAUAAUACAAGCUUUAUAUUACAAGCCAGGGGCCUCGAGGGCUCGAAUACAUAAGCUCGAAUACACAAGUCAGCGGAAGCAACAUUAUCUGAGUACAGACAUGAGUUAAACAAAUUUUCCUUAAGAAGGCUAGCACAAAAGCAACAUGAUCGAAAAGGCAAGGCCUCCUGCCUGGGAGCCUCCUAACUACUCCUGGUCAUCGGCGGUCUCCGUCACGUGGUAGUAGGCACCCUCGGGGUAGUAGAAGUCGUCAAAAGUGGCAUCUGGCUCCUGGACUCCACCAUCUGGUUGCAACAACCAGAAGGAAGAAAGAAGGGGGGGAAAGGGGUAGCAAAGCAACCGUGAGUACUCAUCCAAAGUACUCGCAAGCAAGGAUCUACACUACAUAUGCCACAUUAUCAAUGAAAUGGGAUGUAUCUGUGGACUGGGCUGCAGAAAUGCCAGAAUAAAGAGAAGUCCUAGUCGUAUCAAAGACUAGCAUCUUCUGGAAACCACCAUCUUGCAACAAACAAGAGGGAGUAGAGUAGCAUAAAGUAAAGUAGUAGUAGUGUUAUCAACCUCGGCAAGAGAUCCUUUCUCGACUCCCUGCGAGAAAGCAAUCCCAGAGCCAUACUAUCCAAUUGUCAUCACAAUCCAAUUCUCAUCACCAUCCAAUUCUCAUCACAAGUAUCCAGUUCUAGUUGUAUCGAUCGGGAUACAACUCCAAGUGUCCGUUACCGUAGGACAGACUAUCGAUAGAUGUUUUCUUCCCUGCAGGGGUGCACCAACUUACCCACCACGCUUGAUUAACUCCGGCCGGACACACUUUCCUGGGUCAUGCCCGGCCUCGGCCAAACAAUACGCCGCAACCCGACCUAAGCUUAAUAGAGAGGUCAGCACGCCGGACUAAACCUAUGCCCCCAGGGGUCAUGGGCCAUCUCCCCGGGAACUCCUGCAUGUUGCGUGGGCGGCCGGUGAGCAGACCUAGCCUCCCUUAUACAAGCGAAGGCAUAACCAGUCUAACUCGGCGCGCGCCGCUCAGUCGUUAACAUCUAUUAAGCUUCGGCUGAUGCAUACGACGCAGAAUGCCCAUACUAUGCCCACGUGAUGGUUAGUGCUAUCAGGCCAGAGGCCCCUCCGAUCAAAUAUCCAAACCGUUAGUGUGUUGGUAGUGCGGUCACGAGCAGAGACUCACAAAAGAUGUGACCCCGUCGCCCCGUCUCGAGGACUUGCGGCAAGGGCUAAGAAUGCCCGGCCAUGCCUCGUAUUCAACUCUCGGGUACCCUCCAGGUCAACCCGUCUCCACAUCACUCGCAAUUAUUCUCGCGCGGGUACCCCUCAGGGUCGACCCGUCCUUAGUUACAUGAUUCAGUGUAAAGUCAUAGUAAUCAUAGUAACUGUGUGUCUAAACAUCAAGGGGAAACCCGAGGAAUCACCCCCGGUGAGUUCCACUCGAUGUAAUCAUCAAGGUGAACGUAAGAGGAAUCACUCCCGAGGUUCACACUUGAGGGGUUGCAUGACAGAGUCGUAUCGGAAGUGGUUAAGAUGGAAUCACCCUCGAUGACCACGACUGAAUAACUACACUACAGGGUUAACAUCAGAAGUGAUGUAGAGGUCUCACCCUUGUCACUUGAUAGUAACCCAGCAGUGUCGAGCAACUAAGGGGAAAGUGAUGUGUGGUGCCGGGGCCUGGUCUUCGAUCCCGUUGAUCGGGUCUUCAAUGAUGAAGCAGGGGCAACAAGGACAAGGUGGGGUCACUGAUGGAUCACUAACCAACCUAUACUAAGCAGUUUAGGAUAAGCAGGUAAGGUAACGAUAAGAAGGUUACAAAAGCAGGCUAUGCAUUAGAAUAGGAGCGAACAAUAACAAUAGCAAAAUCUAAUGCAAGCAUGAGAUAAAGGAAUGGGCGAUAUCGGGAUGAUCAAAGGGGGGGCUUGCCUGGUUGUUCUGGCAAGAAAGAGGGGUCGUCGGUGACGUAGUCGAUCACAGGGGCAUCAGCAUCGUCACGGGGUCUACCGAAGAGAAGAAGGGGGAGAAACAGUAAAUAUAUAGCAAGAAAGUGCAUAACAGGACAACAGGUAGAGCUAGAUGUGUUCUUAGGCGGUGCUACACGAUGCCAGUGAAGGGGGAAGUCAACCGGGAAUGUUUUCCCGGUUCCGGGCCUAUGUCAGACAGAUGACCGGAGGGGAAAUGUUCCAUGUUCAGAUAGUUAGAGGCAUCUGAUAGGUAAACGGACCGCGUAUCCGGAUUCACUGGAUUUUUCUGAGCAACUUUCAUGUAGAAAACAUUUUCAUCGGAGUUACGGUUUAUUUUCUAUGAAUUUUCAAAGAUUAAACAGUUUUCUGGAAUUACUUAAAUUAACAGAAAAGGAAUAUGACGUCAGCAUGACAUAUGUGUGACGUCAGCAGUCAACAGUCCGGUUGACUAGUCAAACCGACAUGGGGGAUCCACCUUUCAUAGACAGUGGGUUAAACAGAGUUCAAACUAAUCUAAAUUUAGUUAGUAAAGCUACUGGGCCCACCUAUCAACGUCUAGUUAAGCUAAUUAAUUAAUUAUAAAAUCCUUUAGCUAAUUAGUGGUGGUGGGGCCCAUUUGUCAGCAGCUGGGCUAGUCCAGUCAGUAGAGCUGACCAGUCAACAGGCCGGCCGGGCCCCUGGGGCCCACGGGUCAGUGACCUAGGUGGUGGCCCGGGGGUGGCCCACACGACACCAGCUCAGUGGAGCUGCCGGAGUGGCUCCGGCGAGCUCGUGCGCAGCAGCAGAACGCCGACGAGGUCGGAAAUCGCCUACGGUUCACCAUUUUGCGUGCCACGACUUGCGUUCGAAAGCUAGGAGGGAGCCGCGUCGAGUGGUGCUGCUAGACUACGCCGGGGAUGCCGGAAACGUCACCGGCGUCGAGCUUGGCGGCGGUGGCUUUCGGGCGUGCUCGCGCUCGUCGCUUCAAGGCACGGCAAGGACCGUGGAAGGUGGCGUUGGACUGCUGGGAGCGUGCUGAGCACGAUGUCGUGCUCGUCCGAGCUGGACGGAGAGUGUGGACACGGCGAUGAGUACGGCGGUGGAGGCGCGCUACGGCCAGGACGGUAGCUACGGCUAGGGGCACGGUGAGGCAAGGAAGGAGAAGGGAGAGGACAGAGUGGAGCUCACCGAGCGGUCAAGAAAGACCCUUGGUGGCUUAGGAGCAGCAGAGCUCGCUGGGAAGGAAGGGGAUUGCCGACGGCCGUCGAGGAAGAAGACGAUGCGUGUGGCGACAGUGGAGCUCCCCCACUCUGAUCCAAGGGCGUAGGCGACGUAGGUGAAGGCACCGACGCUACUGGACAUGCGCAAACGGCGCGGGGUGGCGGGCGGACGCGCCUAUGGCGAGGACUAGGCAACGGCGUCGUCAGCCCUUCUCCAAAUCCGCGGAGAGGGAGAGGGGGAGAAAUGGAUGAGGGCGCCAGGGGGAGUGGGGUGGUGCAAGUGGAGGCGGGGAUCGAGGAGGCGAGGAGGCCCAGGCCUUAUCCCCUCGCUCGGGCAUCGCCGGCGAGGCGGGUCCGGCAGGGACGGCGCUUGUAGCGACUUGGGUCGUGGAACAGUGCGAGGGGGGAAACGACCGGGAAGGAGGAAUGGGCUGCCACAUGUAGUGGGCCGACCGAGGUGGGUGUAGUCCAGGGAGGGGGGGUUGCUCUCUCUUUCAAGACGCCUGCAAAUCUUGAAAGUAAUAUGAAAUGGGUUGUAAAUAAAAAAACAUAUGAAAAAUUGGCAAUUACUUUAUAAUUUCUGAUUUUUUUUACAUUUUUAGAUUCCUAUUUCACUAGGCAUUAACCUAAUUUAAAUAUAUCUUCAAAGUACUUUAAAUCUGGCUCGACAUUUCGGUAUUAAAAAUAGUUUGGAACCACAGAAAUAUGCGAAAUUGGCCCUGGCAAACCAAAAAACGACUGCAAUAAGUUGCAUAAGAAGUUGCCAUGAGCUAUAUAUAAAUUAUUUAAAAAAAGAGGGAGUGGUCUGACUUGUGGGCCUGUUUAGUUGACGCAUAUGCAAGAUUUUUUUUGUUAUUAUAUACUACGUCAACAAACGAUUCUAACAGACGUAACCGUUGGAUGUCAAUCCAACGGCCGUCGUGUUUCUUCAAUCUCUGAUCUUCUUGCUCCAGCCGCCAAAGCAGUGCCGGCGGGACUACCUCCCGCCUCCCGUGGCCGGCUGUGUUGCUGCACAGGCCUCAGUGCCCCCUACUACUCCCAUCGCUGGCCAGGGCAUCCCUCUACUCACCCACACCCCCUGUUAUUCUGCGGCGACGGCAGCCUCACGCCGCAGCCGAACCGGUGAACCCUUGUACUCCUCUCCGCGCGGGCUUCCACUGCCGCGUCUUCCCCAGCUCCGCGUUGUCCCCUUCCUAGGCCUCGCCGUUUCCACCGCCGUGGUGCUCUCGGCGCGGCGUGGUCAAUGUGGUCAACGACCGACUUUCAUCGGAAGAGUACUGUACGUGGAGAGGCUGACAGUUGGAUCCACGGCAGCCGCAAGGAAGUGCCUUCUUAUUACGCGGAAAAUAAUUAUUCCUCUACCUAACAGCAGGGACCCACCGGACGGGCCACCAGUAUUUCACGAAAAAAAAUUCCACCUGACUGCUGGGACCCACAGGACGGGCCACCGUAUUUUGCGAAAAAAACGUUCCCCCCACUGUCAGCUCGGACCCAACGGAAGUGCCUCCUUAUUACGCACAAAAAAAUGAAUACCCCCUGCUAGCUGGGACCAACCUUGGUGGGAGGCUGACUUGUGGGCCUACUAAGUUGACUGGGACGGAGGCCUUUGUCAACUUUAGUCAAUAUAUGAACGAUUCUAGCUCCAGUGACCAUAUGAUGUCCAUCCAACGGCCGUAGUGCUUCUUCAACCUCUGGUCUUCUUGCUCCAGCCGCCCAAAGCAGCGCCGGUCAUGCUGCCUACUCCUGCCGCCCGUGGCCGGCUGUGAUGCCGCGGAGGCCUCACCGCCCCCUACUACUCUCACCGCUGGCCAGGCCAUCCCUCUACGCACCCACACCCCCUGUUAUUCUGCGGUGAUGGCAGCCUCGCACCGCAGCUGAACGAGUGAACCCUCAUACUCCUCUACGUGUGGGCAUCCACUGCCGCGUCUUCCCCGGCUCCGCGUUGUCCCCUUCCUAGGCCUCGCCGUCGUCCACCGCCCUGGUGCUCUCGGCGCGGCGUGGUCAAUGUGGUCAAGGAAUGGCUUCCAUCGGACGUGGACUGUACGUGGAGAGGCUGACAACUGGGUCCACGGCCGCAGCAAGGAAGUGCCUCCUUAUUACGCGCAAAAUAAUUAUUCCUCCACCUGACAGCAGGGACCCACCGGAUGGGCCACCAUAUUUCGCAAAAAAAAUGUUCCCCCUGUCUGCUGGGACCCACCAGCUACGUCUUUGCACGCAAGGAAGUGUGUCCAAAAAAAAAACGAUUCGCCCCCAUGACUGCUGGGACCCACCAGCUACAUCUUCGCAUGCAAGGAAGUGCGUCCGGGCAAAAAAAACAAUUCUCCCCCCUGACUGCUGGGACCCACCAGCUAAAUCUUCGCACGCAAGGAAGUGCGUCCGGGCAAAAAAAAAAGAUUCACCCCCCUGACUGAUGGGAGCCACCACCUACAUCUUCGUAGGCAAGGAAGUGCCUGACAGUCGGGACCCACCUGGUCGAAGCGUACGUAGCGUUGUCAUUCUGGUCGCGAACGUGUACGUACAUAUUGGUCGAUGUAGAGGUGCGCACGUGUCGUAGUCGAGGUGCGCACGUAGCAUGUACACGUACGUACAGCGGUGAGGGUGCAAGAAAGAAAAUACGGCCACGUACGUACAUACGGGCAUGGUCUCGAACGCCUACUCGCGCAUACGUACAUGGCUGGGUCAGAACGGAGAACAGCGUCGUCGUCGUGUUCAUGGGGAGCCAACCGGCUAGGUCGGAACGGAAUGCGUGGUCGUGUUCAUCAGGAGGGCUUGGACGGAACAGGUGAUGGAAACGAGGCCUGGCGUAUUGCACAAUGGAGGAAACGGACCUCCUACGUUCGGAACGGGGUCCCCGUUGAUCGGGAGGGGUGUGGCGUACUGCAAAACGGAGGAAACGGACCUCCUACGGUCGAAACGGGGGUCCUGUUGAUCGGGAGGGGUGUGGCGUACUGCAAAACGGACGAAACGGACUUGUGUUGGAGCGCUACAGUCAAAACGGGGGUCCUGUUCAUUGGGAGGGGUGUGGCAUACCGCAAAACGGAUGAAACGGACUUGUGUUGGAGCGCUACGGUCGAAAUAGGGGUCCUGUUCAUCGGGAAGGGUGUGGCGUACCGCAAAAUGGGAUUCCACGGGAUACUGUUCAUCUCCACCGUCGACCUCCUCCAGCCUCCACGGGCUACCGUCGACCUCCUCCAGCCUCCACGGGCUCCUGUUCAUCCAGCCUUCACCGCGCGCUAAUCCACGGGCUACUGUUCAACCACCCCUCCACCGUCUACCGUUCAUCCAGCCCUCCACCAUCUACCGUUCAUCCAGCCCUCCACACCACGGGGGCCUGUUCAACUACCCCUCUAUGGCCACCCCUCCAUCAUCUACUGUUCAUCCAGCCCUCCACACCACGGGGUCAUGUUCAUCCAGAGGCAACGCCACCGCUCACUGUUCAUCCACCCCCCCCCUCCCGCAACGCUCACUGUUUAUCCAAUCGAUCGGCUUCAGUUAGCAGCAGUAGCGAAGGAAUCGCUCCAUCGGGUUCAGUUAAUAGCCAUCGAUCGAUCGCUCGGGUUCAGUAACGCGUAGACUACAGUGCAAUCGCUCGGGUUCAGUUAGAGCACAACGCCUCGCUUGGAUUCAGUUAGAGCCAACGCCUCGCACACACGCGCGUACGUGUACGAGAGAAAGGCGCAUCGCUUGGCCCCCGACCUUGCACCGUAACCGGCAAAUCCCCGAAAUUUUCCUCCCCCUCGCUUCUACCAUGGUUUUUUCUGUCAUGGACGGCCCAAAGAAUGUCAUGCAGCUGCGUCUUCGGCCUGCCCAGGACGAAAAGCCCAUUUUCUGUCAUGAUUUUUUGUCAUAGAAGUAGGAGCCCACCACAUCUAUGAUGAUACCGGGUUUUGUCACAAUUAUCGUCAUAGAAGUGUCAUAUGUAUGACAGAAAAAAAUUUCUUUCAGCCCAAAAUGUCACGGAUGUGUCUUUUUUUUGUAGUGAUAUGAGUUCUUUUGACUAAUGUUGAGUCCAUGGAUUAUACGCACUUUUACCUUUCUGCCAUUGCUAGCCUCUUCGGUACCGUUCAUUGCCCUUUCUCACCUUGAGAGUUGGUGCAAACAUCGCCGGUGCAUCCAAACCCCGUGAUACGAUACACUCUAUCACACAUAAACCUCCUUAUAUCUUCCUCAAAACAGCCACCAUAUCUACCUAUUAUGGCAUUUCCAUAGCCAUUCCGAGAUAUAUUGCCAUGCAACUUUCCACCGUUAUGUUCUUCAUCAUCAUGACAUACUUUACUUUUGUCAUAUUGCCAUUGCAUGAUCAUGUAGUUGAAAUCGUAUUUGUGGCAAAGCCACCAUGCAUUAUUUUCCAUACAUGUCACUCUUGAUUCAUUGCACCAUCCCGGUACACCGCCGGAGGCAUUCAUAUAGAGUCAUAUCUUGUUCUAGUUUCGAGUUGUAAUUCAUAUGUUGUAAUCGAUGAAAGUGUGAUGAUCAUCAUUAUUAGAACAUUGCCCAAAAAAUAGAAAAAAAGGAAAGGCCAAAAGAAAAAAAAUAAAGGCCCAAAAAAGAAAAAAAGGGCAAUGUUACUAUCUCUUUUUCCACACUUGUGCUUCAAAGUAGCACCUUGUUCUUCAUGUAGUGAGUCUCAUAUAUUGUGCUUCAAAGUAGCACCAUGUUUUUCAUUUAGUGAGUCUCAUAGAUUGUCUUUUUCAUACUAGUGGGGAUUUUUCAUUAUAGACCUUGUCUUGUAUAUUCCUACGAUGGGCUUCCUCAAAUGCCCUAGGUCUUCGUGAGCAAGCAAGUUGGAUGCACACCCACUAGUUUCUUUUGUUGAGCAUUCAUUUAUAGCUCUAGUGCAUCCGUUGCAUGGCAAUCCCUACUCCUCAUGUUGACAUCAAUUGAUGGGCAUCUCCAUAGCCCGUUGAUUACCCUUGUCAAUGUGAGACUUUCUCCUUUUUUGUCUUCUCCACACAAUCCCCAUCAUCAUAUUCUAUUCCACCCAUAGUGCUAUAUCCAAGGCUCACGCUCAUGUAUUGCGUGAAGGUUGAAAAAGUUUGAGAUUAUUUAAGUAUGAAACAAUUGCUUGGCUUGUCAUGGGGGGUAUAGAAGUUGGGAACAUCUUUGUGUGACGAAAAUGAAGCAUAGCCUAACUAUAUGAAUUUGUAGGGAUGAACUUUCUUUUGCCAUGUUAUUUUGAGAAGACAUGAUUACUUUGAUUAGUAUGCUUGAAGUGUUACUAUUUCUUUUAUCAAUAUGAACUUUUAUUUUGAAUAAUUUGGAUCUGAACAUUCAUGCCACAAUAAAGAAAAUGACAUUGAGAAUUAUGCUAGGUAGCAUUCCACAUCAAAAAUUCUCUUUUUAUCAUUUACCUACUCGAGGACGAGCAGGAAUUAAGCUUGGGGAUGAUUGAUACGUCUCCAACGUAUCUAUAAUUUUUGAUUCUUCCAUGCUAUUAUAUUACCCCUUUUGGAUGUUUAUGGGCUUUAUUUUACACAUUUAUAUCAUUUUUGGGACUAACCUACUAACCGGAGGCCCAACCCGUAUUGCUGUUUUUUUUGCCUAUUUCAGUAUUUCAAAGAAAAGGAAUAUCAAACAGAGUCCAAACGGAAUGGAACCUUCGGGAGCAUGAUUUUUGGAACGAACGUGAUCCAGAAUACUUGGAGUGCAAGUCAAGAAGCAGCCGAGGCGGCCACGAGAUAGGAGCCCCCCCCCCUAUAGGGUGCGCCCCCCUGUCUCGUGGGCCCCUCGGGCAUCCACCGACGUACUUCUUCCUCCUAUAUAAGCCUACGUACCCCAAAAACAUCCAGGGAGCAGACGAAACACAAUUUCCACCAGCGUAACCUUUUGUAUCCGCGAGAUCUCAUCUUGGAGCCUUCGCCGGCACUCUGCCAGAAGGGGGAAUCGGCCACGGAGGGCUUCUACAUCAACAUCCUUGCCCCUCCGAUGAGUUGUGAGUAGUUUACCACAGACCUACGGGUCCAUAGUUAUUAGCUAGAUGGCUUCUUCUCUCUUUUUGGAUCUCAAUACAAUGUUCUCCCCCUCUCUUGUGUAGAUCUAUUCGAUGUAAACUCUUUUUGCAGUGUGUUUGUCGAGAUUCGAUGAAUUGUGGGUUUAUGAUCAAGUUUAUCUAUGAAUAAUAUUUGAAUCUUCUCUGAAUUCUUUUAUGUAUGAUUGAGUUAUCUUUGCAAGUCUCUUCGAAUUAUCAGUUUGGUUUGGCCUACUAGUUUGAUCUUUCUUGCCAUGGGAGAAGUUCUUAGCUUUGGGUUCAAUCUGGUGGUGUCCUUACCCAGUGACAGAAAGGGUUGCAAGGCACGUAUUGUAUUGUUGCCAUCGAGGAUAACAAGAUGGGGUUUAUAUCAUAAUGCUUGAGUUUAUCCCUCUACAUCAUGUCAUCUUGCUUAAUGCGUUACUCUGUUCUUAUGAACUUAAUACUCUAGAUGCAGGCAGGAGUCGGUCGAUGUGUGGAGUAAUAGUAGUAGAUGCAGGCACGAGUCGGUCUACUUGUCAUGGAUGUGAUGCCUAUAUACAUGAUCAUGCCUAGAUAAUCUCAUAAUUAUUCGCUUUUCUAUCAAUUGCUCGACAGUAAUUUGUUCAGCCACCGUAAUACUUAUGCUAUCUUGAGAGAAGCCACUAGUGAAACCUAUGGCCCCCGGGUCUAUCUCUUAUCAUAUUUGCUUCCAAUCUACUUUUAUUUGCAUCUUUACUUUUUGCAUCUAUAUUAUAAAAUACCAAAAAUAUAUUUAUCUUAUCUUACUAUCUUUAUUAGAUCUCACUUUCGCAAGUGGCUGUGAAGGGAUUGACAACCCCUUUAUUGCGUUGGUUGCGAGUUCUUUGUUUGUUUGUGUAGGUGCGUGGGACUUUUGAGGAGCCUCCUACUGGAUUGAUACUUGGUUCUCAAAAAAUGAGGGAAAUACUUACGCUACUCUGCUGCAUCACCCUUUCCUCUUCAAGGAAAACCAACGCAAGCUCAAGACGUAGCACAUGACAGCCAGUUUUCGGCUUUAUCUACUAAGGUGUUUGACCGGACGAACCAGAAACACAAUCGCAGUAGUUCUCCCUUUACUACCCUAGCCGAACAAGCAGAACGUAAGGUAGUAACCACAGGAGCCGGGCAACCCAACUAUUGACCAAAGACAUGAUUCGGAGUUGAUGCAUACAAUGCAAUAAUCGGGAUGCCGAAGUAUACUAAGAAAAGUGUUCGGACUUUUUUUUAAAUAUAUGUGGCCGAAUAGAGCCCAUGGCAUUUUAAGCCAUACCGAAGUGUACAUGUCAAUCUGACGUGAAGAGGGAAUACAGAUUAUGAAAUAAACCAAUAUCGAAUAGGAGUUGGUGAAAACCUGUUUCCUUUUCAAUCCGAUUGAUAUGUCAAAACGUGCCCUUACAGAUAAUGCCAUAAGCAUCAUGGCUAUUUUACAUACCGAGAAUUUGUAAACAAGGGAAAGCUGUAUACAGGUCCUAAAGAAGAAAAGGUAAUCUUGAAGAUCCCUUGGACAACCUGCCGCACAUUUGCGCCGCUUUCGCCUUGGUGAACAUCCUUUGAGAGGAGCAAUCGACGAUCGUUUAUACAAAAGGGGCCCGGAAAGAGCCCUUGCACGUCCAUAGGAUAGCUAUGUUUUAAUGCACCUAUGGUAUGGAAGAAAGAAGAAAAAAGAUCAACGAAGAAAGGUUAAGGUCAAAUAGGGUCAAGCCACACUAUAGACCUUGUCCGCAGUGUGCCUCCGUCGUUGUCCAGGGUAUUUUGAGUGUGUAAUUAUGCACGCGCGGUACAUAUGUCGCGGUUGUGUGGGGCGAUCGACGGAGGCGAGACUGCUAGUACAACUCUGGACCCAUAGAGCUGUCAUUCUGCGGAGUAGGUCGGACUCGCUUAAUGGUGUCCGGGGCCUUGAGGGCCAAUGAGUUAUCCGGCUUGAUGAGGCCGUUCUGUACUUUGGCUGCAUGGGCCGUGGUGUGCUCCUCAGUACGGAGAGAGCGCUCCAUGUUGCCAUUGACUGUAAUAACGCCGCACAGUCCAGGCAUUCUGAGCUUUAAGUAAGCAUAAUGCGAGACUGCAUUGAAGCGGGCAAAGGCGAUACGUCCGAGCAGUGCGUGAUAACCACUACGGAAAGGGACGAUGUUGAAGAUCAAGUCUUUGCUUUGGAAGUUGUCUGGUGAACCGAAGACUACUUCCAAUGUUAGUGAGCCUGUGCAGCGGGCCUUGACGUCGGGUAUCACUCCUUUAAAGGUGGUGUUACUAGGCUUGAUUCUUGACGGGUCAAUGCCCAUUUUACGGACAGUGUCUUGAUAGAUCAAGUUAAGACUGUUGUUGCCGUCCAUAAGGACUCGAGUGAGAUGGUAUCCAUCGAUAAUUGGAUCGAGGACCAGAGCUGCCGAACCUCCAUGACGGAUACUGGCGGGGUGGUCCCUGCGAUCGAAGGUGAUCGGACAAGCCAACCACGGGUUGAAUUUAGGGGCGACAGGCUCUACUGCAUAGACGUCCCUUAGUGCGCGCUUGCGCUCCCUUUUGGGGAUAUGUGUGACAUAUAUCAUGUUCACUGUUUUCACCUCAAGGGGAAAUUUCUUUUGUCCCCUGUAUUCUGUGGGCGGGGCUCAUCAUCGUCCUCGCUUGGCGGCCCUUUCCCCUUGUGUUCGGUAUUUAACUUACCGACCUGUUUGAAGACCCAACAAUUUCUGUUCGAGUGAUUGGCAGGCUUGUCGGGGGUGCCAUGAAUCUGGCAAGGCCGAUCGAGUAUUUUGUCCAAAUUAGAUGGACCAUCUUUAUUUCCUUUGAAUGGCUUCUUCCGUUGACCGGAUUUAGAGCCACUGAAUCCAGCGUUAAUCGUUGUGUCUUCAGUUUCUUCAUUGUUGUUUCGACGCUUAUGUUUGUUGCGUCGUGGCCCACCAUUGCCGUCCCUGAGUUUGGAGGUGCCAGGGUCGCUGGUAAUGUUGCUUCUAUAGCCAACCAGCUGUCUUCUCCCGCGCAGAAGCGAGUCAUGAGUGCGGUAAGAGCUGCUAUAGACUUCGGUUUUUCCUGAUCGAGGUGUCGGGAGAGCCAUUCGUCGCGGACGCUGUGUUUAAAGGCCGCGAGGACUUCGGCGUCCAGACAGUCGAUGAUGUGGUUCUUUUUAAUUAAGAACCUACUCCAGAGUUUGCAGGCUGACACUCCGGGUUGCUGGACUAUAUGACUAAGGUCGUCGGCAUCCGGGAGCCGGACAUAGGUACCUUGGAAGUUGUCCCGAAAAGCAUCCUCCAAGUCUUCCCAGCUACCAAUACAGUUCUCUGGUAGGCUGUUCAACCAGUACCGUGCCAGUCCUUUCAGCUUUAAGGGGAGGUAAUUAAUGGUGUGGAGAUCAUGGCCGCGAGCCAUGUGAAUAUGAAGGAAAUCCUCAAUCCAUACCGCGGGAUCUGUCGUUCCAUCAUAUGAUUGGAUGUUUACGGGUUUAAACCCUUUUGGAAAUUGGUGCUGCAUUACCUCAUCUGUAAAGCACAAGGGGUGUGCGGCGCCUCUGUAUCGGGCAACGUCACGACGGAGUUCGGAUGACAUCCGUGUUCGGUUUUCAGCCCGAGUUCAGUUAUGCUUAUCGCGCCAAGCUUGAAGGCCAUCAUCUCUCGUUGGAGCGCGUCCCCUUGAUCCGUAGAUUGAUCUGGUCUGGCCGGCUCUAUUGUCCAGGGCCUGAUGUAAGUCAUAGGUGUAGCCCGGAGCCUCUACCUCUUUGCCUCAACGGCGAGGUGGCACGGGCUGGUGUUCGGCGUAACCAGCCAAUCUGUCAUGCCCACGUGGUGGCCAGUCUGGUUCAUCAGCAUGAUUAUAUCUUGACGGUAUUGGCUCAAGGGCCUCGUUGUUGAAUUGUGGCAGUAGCCGACGCUUCGGAUAACUCUUUGUUGGGCGCUCGAGGCCGUAUUCCUCGGCAGCAAGGACAUGGGUCCAUCUAUCGUUGAGUGUAUCCUGUUCGGCUUGAAGCUGUUGCCAUUUCUUCUUUAGGCUCCUCGCAAUUGCGAUGAGCUGCCGCUUAAAGCGUUCUUGCUCGAGGGGUUCCUUUGGCAUGAUGAAGUCUUCGUUGCCGAGGCUGACUUCCUCCUCGGAGGCCGGUAAAUAGUUAUUGUCCUACGAAUCCUCAUUCUUGCCAAGUUCGUCUGGGUUGACUUGUCUGUCUUCCCAAUCAUCCUGCUCUACGGUAGGCUGGAUGGGGUGGUCAGAGUCUUCGGCAUUCUCCGGAGUGUCAUUGUCUCCGAUGCUGGUAUUACUUUCUUUUUCCCGCCGCGAUCGUGAACGGCGCCGCUGACGUCGACACUUCGGUGGUACCUCGACGGGCUUGUCGUCGAUCGGAUCCUGAUUGCCAUCGUUGUCCUCUUUGGGUGUAUCCACCAUGUACACGUCGUAUGUAGAAGUGGCAGUACAACGUCCGGUGAUAGGCGGGUUUUGGCCUCGUUCUGCUCCGGCAUCGUCGUCCAUACCGUCGAUGUCUUCAGAGGUGUAAUCGAGCAUGUCGGUUAAUUCCUCGAUAGUGGCUACCAAGUGGGUGGUGGGUGGGACGUAAAAUUCCCCGCACUCAGCCCCUAGUUCGGGUUGUGCGUAAUUCAGAGGUGAUACCUCCAUGAUGGCGAGAGAUCGCAUUAAGUCCAAGGCCUCGCUUAGGAGUGAAGGCCGGACGGGGAACUGAGGUCCUGCGGAGCUAGGCAUGGUACAUGACACAUGGCCGUGCUCAAUGGACGCGGACCUUGAGAGUUCGGAGUUAGCAUCAAGAGGCGGAUUUGGCUCUUCGAUGACAGGAAGAGUCCUGCUUAACUCCAAGCUUGUCGGAGACGCAGCAGCCUCAGGGUCUCCAGCAAAGAGCUCCGUAACAGGAGAGAGUCCGGUUGGUUUCAGACUCCCAUCUCCGGAUGAGGUGGCCUGCUCUGGAUCUAUGGCCACGGCAGGGAUGAUAGUUGGUCUUUCAGCGGUGCCCGAUGACGGAUCCGAUGGGUUUCCUUCUUGGAGAUGAGGAAUAGUGGUCGAGGUCGUGAACCCUUCAAAGAUCAAGUCUCCUCGGAUAUCAACGACGUAAUUCAGGCUCCCGAAUCUGAUUUGAUGACUAGGGGCGUAGCUGUCGAUCUGUUCAAGGCGACCAAUUUGAAUUGGCCUGAAGAGCGAAGCCGCUGAAUACAAAAAUUUGACUGGGGACGAAGAUCUCCCGGGAAACAACAUCGUUGUUUAUGAUCGAACGAGCCAUCGAGCCUUCUGCCGACGAUACAGUGGAACUCUCGAUGAAAGCACCAAUGUCGGUGUCAAAACCGGCCGAUCUCGGUAAGGGGUCUCGAACUGUGCGUCUGAGGAUCGAAGGUAACAGGAGACAAAGGGGGACACGAUGUUUACCCAGGUUUGGGCCCUCUUAAUGGAGGUAAAACCCUACUUCCUGCUUGAUUAACUUUGAUGAGUAUAGGGGGUUAGAAGAGUUGGUCUACCAUGAGAUCGUAAUGGCUAAACCCUAGAUGUCUAGCCUAUAUGAAUUCUGAUAGCCUCUAUGGACUAAACCCUUCGGUUUAUAUAGACACCGGAGGGGCCUAGGGUUGUACAGAGUCGGUUUACAGAGGAAGGAAACUAUACAUCCAGACGCCAAACUUGCCAUCCACGCAAAAGGAGAGUCCUAUCCGGACACGGGGGAAGGCCUUCUAUCUUGUAUCUUGACGGCCCAUCUGUCUCGCUCUCGCCCAUAUCACACAGCCCGGUCACCCGAGGACCCCAUAAUCCAGGACUCCCUCACCUCCCAAGCUCCGCGUCGACGCUGGAGCAGACGUCGUCGCAAUGUCGAAACCCGAGGACACACGUCCACCACGAGGAUGCCGCCGCCACACCAUCCUUGUUUGAGCAGUCUGGAUUUCAAAACCAUCCCCAAUGAUAGGACCAAUCGUCUCAUUAGAGUAGGAUCUGAAGAAAUUUUAUUCAGCACCGCCAUCGCCACCGCCAAAGCCAAGACAAUGAACAACCUAAAAAACUAAGCUACUUUGGCCUAAAACUAUCCACACGCGUGGAUUCGGCAACCCUCCUCACCGCCGACGAUCGAAGUAGUCGACAGAGGGGAGCCGUCGGAGAACUACGGCGGAGCGCGAGUACCUGGCGGCGGAAAGCUAGAUCGCUUUUCCUGUCUUUGGGAGGAAGAUCACAUGAUUCUAAUUUUAAAACCACGGAAUGUCCUAAGAUUAACAAAAUCAUAUUUAAGAUGUAUUAUACACCUGUAUCUCCAUGUUUUUUUCAACGAACAUGCAUAAAUGAAAGUAUGUAUUUUCAAUAGACGCAAAAUCUCUUCUUGAAAAGAAAGAUCACAGAAUCUGUCAAGAAUUUCCUUUUUUUUUGUAUGUACCAUAUUUAUAUAGACAAAUUGCCCUUAAUCAAUUGACGGCCAUGAUUAAAUUAUCCUCGUACCCCCCUCUUAAAAUUUCUCAUCCUAGUGAGUUGAUUCGCUCAAAGAAAUGUUAUAUAUUCACUACGCCUUUUCAGCACAGUUUGCUACAUGACACAUAAGUGUAUAAAAUGCAAUAUAGGUAGUUCAUACCAAGCUGUAGAUUUGCUUCAGAAACAAUUCAGGCACACAUGAAUACAAGACGGUUUAUCUUAUCGACAAUCCAGACUAUAAAACCAUGCUGAGUUACUCUUCAAGUCUGAAGUACAAGCAGGGAUUACAAACUAUAUUGCCACUUUAUUUAGUCGAUCAUUCAGACGAGGAAAAGCAUGUCGAAUGCUGUUCCAGGUCCAAAGUACAAGCAGACAUUACAUACUAUAUGACCACUCUUUAUUUGGUCGAUCAUUCAGACUAGAAAAGGGACGCUCAAUUUUUUUGUCCGAAGUAUAAGCAGACAUUAGUGAAGCUACAUACCCCCCUUCUCCCAGUACCAGCCAUCUCAUUAUCUCAAGGUGCCUUGCAGGGCAACUUCGACAUCAUAUUCGCGGCUUUCUGCAGAUGUGAAAGAAAAAAGGAAUAAAAUGCUUAGAACGAUCUGUCAAAUUCAGAGCCAGGAGCAUGGUAACCUUAUGGGCUAAACAUAGGACAACUGCUUGAAUUUGUGUAACUAUGUCUCUUCAUUCAGCAGUUAUCUAUAACUAAGAUUCGCUGAUAGUCAUACAAUGGGACAAAAUGUACUAGGAACUAGGAACUGGUAGCACUUGAAGCAAUUAAAUAAUCCUUCUGAGACAGGCAGGCCCUUGGCACUCAGGGGUCAUGGAAAUCUUAUCUUUGGUAAAUUUGUAAAUUUUAGCAAUUUCAAGCUGGACUCAGGGUGUUUUAACUUAGCUUCUCUCUACACUACAAUGGCCCUCAGAUUAGGUUGAAUCUUGGCUUCGAAAUAGCACUUAUUUCAGUAUAUGCAUGAAAAUGGGUUAUCAGGAACAGAGAAUAGGAUGAGAACGCCUGAAGAAAUUACAAACCUGUUCAGUGUGAGGCAGAUACUUCCCAUCAAAUGUGAGCACCACACGGUCUUUUCCAUCAGCCCCUUUAACUUUGUCGACGGUACAGUAGAAGUCUAUAGCUGACAUGCUGCAAUUGAAAGUGAUAAGAUAACAAGUGAAUUUCUCAAGGACUGUUAUUUGUCAUUUCAUUGAUUAUGCAAUUAAGUUUCCAGAAAUGAACAUCAUAUUUGGAUUUAGAAUUGUACACAUGUGAGACAGUUUGGAAAGUAUAUUGAUGUUCUAGAAACAAAAGCAAAAUCUUGAAAGAAUCCAAAUCAUCUGAAAUUCCGCACUUGUUAAGUUUCAGGUAAAGUUACUAAUGCACACGCAAAAUAAAUCGAACAAGCAAUGAUUUGUCUAAUAUCAAAUAUUAACCAGAAAAUAAUGUAAAACUCAAAUUUAAAUAGGUGAAUCUUCUUACAUUCCAUCACCAAAGUCCUCAUUGAUGAUUGCCUUGAUGCUCUCUCCAAAAUGCAUGAUAGCUUCAUUCAGUCUGUGUUCAACCAUGAAACAGCCAGUGAGGAAAAGUCCUUAUGGAGUAGUAAGUAGCAUUGCGGCAAUUUCCCUUCCGGCAUGCCCCAAUCCAGCCACAAUCUCUUUCCCAUUUGACGCCAACAAGUUGUUAUCUUGCUUUAUCAUAUCGUGGGCUAAAGUUGUACUGAAAAAAAACAGCAGUGGCAAGAGUGGCACCUGUAUAUGGCGGGCUCGUGGACCAUUUCAGGGUUGUACGAGCGGAAGGGCGGCUGCAUCAUGAGUUCCACGAGCUCUUCGGUGAGCGCCGGGAUGGCCGCCCGCAGCGCGGCCGCCGUGUCGGGCUUGAGCUGCGCCUGGCGGCGCAGCAGCUGCGCGACGUACACGUUGGUGAGCCCCGUCUCGGCCCCGAUGUCGGAGAAGCUCUUGCCGGACUUGGCCUUGGCCGCCAUCAGCUUCUGCACCGCCGCCGCUCUCGCGCCGCCGUCCUCCAUGGCCGCCUGCGUCGCCCGGGAUGUGCUCGACGGAAUGGCGAGGUUGGGAAGCGUAGGAGUGGGAGUGCAAAGGACGAAGGAAGGGAGUGAUGGGAGUGAACUGGCCCCGGUUGCGCCGGCUUAUAUGGCCGCCCGGAUAUGCCAUCGGGCAUGGCCGCAUGGGGUGCCGCACCAGCACCACGGCGGCUAAGCGACGGGGAAAGUGUCGGCAGUGAGUGGCGGCACGCGGCGGCUAUGCGACGGGGAAAGCACACGGCGGGGGUCCUGCUACAGUCACCGGCACGCGGCGGCUAAGCGAUGGGAUGUUUUGGCACUGGGCCGGCGAAUAAGUGUUUCAUUGGCCCGGUCCAGCUGAGUUCUCUAUGGGCCGGUGCGGUCCACUCUGGGCCUUUAUCUUGCCCUACCCCGUCACUCUCUCGCCCUGGCUGUGGCUGGGACUGGAGCACUCAUCUCCGCGGCGCCGUGCGGCGUUCUCCGUUCCUCUCCGGCCCCUCCAGCCUCCGUCACCUCUCGCCGCCGAUCAGCAGCGCAUUAGCUUGGGACCUCGACCCAACCCUCCUCCGGGUGACCUCAUACCAUCGUUUUAACCCUCUCCGGGUCUUUUCCGUCGGCACCGCACGCCAUGCGCGCCGCUUGUUCGCGCAAAUGCCUGGCCGAGCUGCUCGGCCGCCUUGGCCAGGUCCAGGCGCAGGGCCAACCGCGCUGCCCCUCCCAGCUAUCUCCCGCGCGCUCCAUGACGCGCGGCCGGAGCGUGAACGAGCGGAGCAAGAAGAAGCGGGUGAACGACCUCGAGGUGGUCAUCGAGCGCUGCAAGGUGGUCUCCAAGGUGCUCGCCGUGGUGGACGCGCUCAAGAUGGAGGAGGAGCACGUCACCCCUCUCAAGCGCCUCGAGAUCCUGCGCCCGCAGCUCGGGCUCGCCAAGCCGCACAAGGUAGCCCACUUCGUGCACAGCUCGCCGCAGCUCUUCGAGGUCUGCCGUGACAGCCGCGGCGUCAUGUGGGCCGGCCUCUCUCCGCAGGCUGAGGCGCUCGUUGAGGAGGAGGCGCGCCUGCUGGAGGAGCACUCCCCCACGGCUGCGGAGUACGUGACCAGGCUGCUCAUGAUGUCGGUGCAACGGCGCCUGCCCGUUGACAAGAUCGCGCAUUUCCGGCGUGACAUGGGGCUUCCUCAUGAUUUCCGGGCAUGGUGGGUGCACUUGUUCCCUGAGCUCUUCAGGUUGGUCACACUGGAGGAUGGUGACUACUUGGAGCUUGUUUCCUGGAACCCAAACUGGGCGGUCACUGAGCAUGAGAAGAAUAUGGCAGCAUUGGCCGGUAACACCAAUGCCAUUUCCAAUGCUAGUACACCAGGAGAGCUCUCACUUCCAUUCCAGAUGAAGUUCCCACCAGAUUUUAAAAGUUACUACAAAUUUAGAGGAAAAGCUCAUCACUAUGUGAAAACCGGCAAUACCGAGCAGUUUCAGAAGACAACCUACCUGUCCCCUUAUGCAGAGGCAAAAGGUUUGACGCCUGGAUCUCAUGAGUUUGACAAGAGGGCAGUCGCGGUGAUGCAUGAGAUACUGAGCUUCAUGUUGGAGAAGAGGCUGGUAACUGACCACCUGACGCAUUUCCGUCGUGAGUUUGUUAUGCCACAGAAGCUGAUGAGGUUGCUACUGAAGCAUUAUGGUAUCUUCUAUGUGUCUGAGAGGGGGAAGCGGCUGAGCGUGUUCUUGACAGAGGCAUAUGAUGGGACAGAGUUGAUAAAAAAGGCUCCGCUGGUAAGGUGGAGAGAGAAGGUUCUUCGACUUACUGGUUACAGAGGAAAAAACAAGAAUAUUGGAAAAGUUCAUGAGUCGUCUGAUUCUGAGCACAUUUUGUUCGAUGCGAGCUCAUCAACAUGUGACAGUGGUAGCAGUGAUGACGAUGAUGCUGAUACUAUAUUGCAUGUCGAAAGUGAAGAUUCAGAUGAUUUCUUGGAUGAUGGCACUCUUACAGAUGAUGGUGAGAUGGAUGACGCUGGGGUGGGUUUUUUCUAGUGAGAAACAUGUUGAGAUGGUUUUAGGAGAUGCAAGUGAUUAUGCAGAGUCAGUGAAAUCCAGUUAGUAGCCUACUAGCCUAACAUAAUGAACAUUAAGCUCAUAAGCGAGCAGGAAGGUUUCAUAUGUGAGCUUGUUUAGGUUUUCCUUGGCUGAUGUUGAUGAUAUUGUGGUCAAUGAUCCAAACAUGGCUGGAUAUCCUGGAAAGUCAACGCUGCAGGAUCUCAUAACAUAUACCCCCUGUCUUGGAUCAACCAUGGUGAUGCUGUUGUUUACUACCUGAUGUCGAAGGUGGACUUUGAAUACCGGUAAGCAUGGAUGAUUGGCAUUGAUAUGAAAACAAAGACUCUGCAAGGGAGUGGCCUUGCUUUCCACCGAUAAAUCCCUCAAUUCCAGUCCUGCCUACCAUGCAUGUUCACUCUCUGGAUAUCUGGACAAGACUUCAAGUAAUUCUAUUGGGGGUUACUCUUUACAACGCCGGUGCUCGUAGGAGUGCCUGCUCUUAGUCCUUUAGUUGACUGUUUUUUCAGUUCAUGUAUCAGUAUUGACGUAUUUGGGCUGGAAUAUUUUGUUCUGCACCGUUUGUGGUCGUUCAUCUACUAGCGGUGGAACCUGAGUAGGAACCAUGUGUUUUAAUGCACAUUUGCAUGUAUGAUAAUUUGAUCUCAACCAGACUUGCCAUAACAGACGUAAGGUCAGCCAUAUCCUAUUGCUGUAAAACUGCCUGCAUCCAGUGAUAAUUCCGUGCUCAUUAGUGUAGUUUUUCACUUUUACUGGUUGGCAGACACUAAUGCUAAGUCUUCAGUCGCACUUGUAUUUCUUAUUUUUCUACAUUUCAACUUUAUCCACGUUUGCAAAAUAUUCGCAUACAGUUCUUUUCUGCUACAGCUGAGCAUAAUACUUUGCUUACUUUCCCCUCUGCAAAAAAGGGCAACUCGUUGUGCCCUUAUACCUCCUACAAUCUACAGAAGGGGCAUUUGUUAAUGUCCUUUGUUAAUUGCAAUUCUAAUUGUUGGUAUGGUACAUAGGUAUCUCUUAUGUGUCUCAGACAAGGCAAACCCCUAAGCGUGUUCUUGACGGAGGCAUAUUAUGGGACAUACUUGAUUAGAAAAAAGGCGUUGUUAUUGCGGUGGAAGGAGAAGGUCUUUAACUUACUGGUUAUAAAGGACAUAGGAAGAAUAGUACAAAAUGUUAUGGAUCGGCUGGUUGAGCAGGACUAUUUGUUUGGUGCUUGUGGAUUGUGGUGGACUGGUGAUGAUGAUGAUGCUAUACUGAAUCUCAAAAGUGAUAAGCCAGAUGAUGUCUUGGAUGAGGGCACUCUUUCGGAGGAUGCUGAGAUGUAUAAGUGUUAUAGCGGGUUUUAGCGGUUACACAGAGUGAGUUAGUGAAAUCCGGUUAGUAACCCAAUAUAAAGAACAAUUUUCUGUUUUAGUCCUGGACAUCAAGCCCUUAAGUGAUUCUGACAAUUAUUUCGAAAUUAGGGCUAUGGUUGGUUUCUAUCUUGAUGCUUAGGUGUACAUAUUAUAUUCACCUUGCUCAUUACUUGGAGACUUGGUGUCUGACAUGCUGUCCCAAGCUUGAAUACAGACUGGAUAUUUCAGGCUUGCAUUGAUUAUUUCUUAUGCUGAUCUACUUGUUCUGCUUUUUUCUUCGAAAAAGACCAUUGUGGUGAAUAUUCCUCAGCACAUCGUGUACUGAAGAUAUGACAUUAUCCAAGCAAUCUACUGUGAAGCGAGCCCUGUCCUUUUCUGACUUCAGCAAUCCAGGGAUGGAUUCAAAAUUCUGGUAUGUACUAAAUAUUUCUGUGUCAAGUAAGCAAUUCUUAAACAAUGUCUUCACGCAUCAGCAGUAAGAACAUGUUAAUUCAGUUUGCAAAAUGAAAUCUUCAAUGACAUUGUGAUUUGCUUACACUACAAUUGUAUUGAGCAACAAGGCUAUAGCAAAUGGCACAGAAAAAAUCUAUAUAGGGGGCAAUAAAAGUUGAGACCACAUUCUCGUGUACAUGCAUCUUCUCCUCAUUUUGGGUGUUGAAACAACUUAACAGUUGAUGUCAAGAUCUUCCUCUUGAGCCAAUAGUUCUAGUCAGUGUUGAGCUUGAGCUCAAAUGUUCAUUGGCGAAUCCCAACUGUAGACUGAAACUCCAUGUGUAAUCUUUCUAAGCCUCAUUAUAUGUAAUCCAUGUUGUUGUGGCUAUGGUUUUGCCAGAGUUUAUAUGUUUUGUUAAGUGCACCCUGCCUUGUUGGUAAGCAACAGCCUGUAAUAUUAGGUGUAUUUCAUGAGUUGUUUGGUCCCCUUGAUUUGUUUCUGUUCUUCUGUUAGUUGAUCUCUUGCACUGUACAUUGUACUCCACUGUCCAUCCCGUUACUGCGAGAAAGUCGUAAAUAGAAGGGGAAAUACAUCACCUAUCAAAAUUAGUUUUGCACUGCCUGUGUACAGUUUCAGCAAUUCGGCUAAACCAUGGUCAUCUUUUGCGAGUUGUGAUAUGCCGUCUCACACCGGCCAGCAAAUCCUUCUCGAUGCCAGACAUGCCAUGCUACUGUUUUGGCCAUCUCCGGCCCAAGCAUGCUGGUUAUCCUAUAUGUGGCAUGCAUGUAGCUGAAAGGAAUCUACUUACCUACCUAUAUGUGUCAAGAUUAAGCAACAAAACAACAAACAACAACAACAACAAAUUAACAAAUGAUAUCAAGAACUUUAUCUUGAUCCAAUACUUGUAGCCAUUCCUGAGCCUGAGCUCAAAUGCUCAUGACGAAAGUGUAGACUCCAGCUCCUUGAGAAACCUUUGUAAGCCCGAUUAUUUCUAUGCUGUUGGUGCUACAGCUUUGCCAGAGUUGAUGUGUUGUAUCAAGUACACACUGCCUUGGUUGUCAGCAACAGCCUGUAAAACUAUUAGCCGUAUAUUUCAGGAGUUAUUUGGUCCCCUCAGUUUGCUUUGUUCUGCUAUCGAGCAAGUCGUAAGUUCUACACUAUACAUGGUAUCGACCUUUUUGUUUUCCUUUUCUUGUUAGAAAGAGUACAUGGCACACAUAUUGUUAACAGCUUCAGCAAUUUGGCUAAAGUGUGGGUACCUUUGAGUCAUGGUAUCGACUGGCAUGUUCCGUUUCGUCUUUCCUCUAUGAUGAUAUGCCAUCUCUCUCUCUCACACACACGCCAUGCUGCUACUGUAUUGGCCAUCUCCUGCCCAAGCAUGCUCGUUAAUAAGUUAGCGAAGGUAGUACUGUUUUUGCCUCUAAAAAAGGGGGUACUGUUUUGUGCUGGAUGUAGCUGAAAAGAACCCACUUACCUACCUAUACAUGUGUCAAAAUUAAGCAACACAAGUACCGCCAUUUCUCAUGCUAGCCUCAAGAUGGAAAGAAGAACAGCUGUAGCGUGUACAUACAGAUCCAACUGAUUCUUGCUGAUAAUUUACACAUCAUUGGUGCCAUUGAUAAGCACCUAUAUCCCUGACAGAGUGUGUUGCCUUUGAUUAUCUUUUUUGUCAGGGAAAAAUAUCACCGGCCGGAAGUAUAGUGCAUGGAAUUAUUCAUUCAUCCACCGCCACCACCACUGGCUCUGGCUCUGUGUUGCUCCGAGAAAACAUGCUCACAUGGCGAUCAGAGGGCCGGCUUAAUGCGAGCACAUGGGCCUAGUACGUGCACGGCCGGCCUCCCCCGGCACGAAUUUAUUUCCUGGAUGGGUGCAACCAUGAAUGUUCUUACCGCACUGCACAACGCGGAUCUGCCCAUCCAACCGGCCACACCAGACGCGUAUUGGGAUGGCGCCAUGGCAACGGCGGUACCGCGGUCGGUUCAUCGCAUCGCGUGAGACGUUCAUACGGGUUGAUUAUGGGCCUCACGCCACCUCACCAGUUGAGGAUCGUUCCAUCAUUUUCUCCAUGGUUUCUUGUUGGAAGUUGGAAGUGGCUGCAGCCUCCUGCUGGAGUGCGGGGCACUUGCCGGAAAACGGCAUUUGCAAAUUGCAGCAAUAGGAGGAGUGUCUGCGUCCGAAAAUACCCAAACCGUUCGUGCUAAUCCCUUUAAUUUGGUGCCUCUUGAUUGAUUGGAUCGUAGGCCGUGGACUGGUGGUCGAACUGACGGUGACAGGAUUUCUUUUCUUUUGAGUGCGUGAUGGCGAAAUGCGGGCACAGAUCGUGGUCAUGGGUUUAUGAGAAAGGGAGAGGAUCGAGUUUUCUAGUUAUGUUUCCAAGUCCAGCUCCCAACGGCGCACACACACAUAUACGCAUGCACUAUACUGGUAUAUGAUCAAUCAAAUUAUUAAAUGGAUUUUGGUAGCGAGAAAGUAGUUAGCCGUUGCUGACCAAGUUCAGGGUUUCGUCAAAAACUGUUGCUUUUGGUUUGGAAAAUUGUACGCAGGCCUUGACCAUUUCAAAAUUUGUGAAUAAUCGAUUGGGCAUGCAUGGGAAUGCAUUUUCGUGGACGUACGGGGACUAGUGAAGAUGCAUGGGUUGGCGCCAGAAGGCUAGACCUGGUUCGCUGACAAUGGUGCUGCAUGCAUGCAUGCAUGUAGGCUGCUACACCUAAUAAAGAGGCCGUCCAUGAAAUGAAAUGGAUCUGAUCUGCUGAUCCGGCCGGCCUCUUCAUUCUGCCAUCACGCUUCACGCAAUCAAUAACGUCCGGCUACAGCUAUAGCCCGCUGCGCAAAUGCCAGAUCCAAUCCACUUCAUCUUCAUCCCAGUACUCCUCAAAUCAAAACAUAUAAAAAAAAACAGAUCACCCCAUAAACACUAAAAUUAAAAUUAAUACAGUUCCCUAUAAUAAAACGCAUAUAUAUUCUGUUAUUUCAACGGCCAAAAACUCUUUAAUCGCACACAGGCAGGCAGACUCCAAAUGCAAAACGCAUGCAGCUGAAGCGUGCCACACACAGGAAAGCAAUCACCUUGCACAUUUUUCUCUCCCGAGCCGUUGCCCUUGCACAUGCUGUCUCAAAAGCUACUUGGCUUCGUGCUCCGGGACAGCAUGUCAGCCUCACAGCAAGAGGGAGAUCAUGUAUGUGUGUCCAUGACCACUUGACCAUGCAUGCAUGAACAGUCUGAACACCGAACACCAUGCCCCCAAGCAAGUGAGCUUCUCUUCCCUCUCUGGCCUGGCUUGGCUUGUGCUCCCUAAUGGCAUUAACUGCCACCCAACAACCCGCCCACCCACCAUCUCCUCCCCAACCCCAACCCCAGCAGCAACGCCACCAUCCCUAGCUAUAUCUAAACACUGAGCACUCCACUCCCUCUCACCCUCAUCACCACUGCCCACCACCAGUCCCGCCCGCCCCCAGCUGCCCACAGGCGCCAUGGCGCGGGAGGAGCUGUCGACGGAGAUCGUGAACCGCGGCGUGGAGCCGUCGGGCCCGGACGCUGGCUCGCCGACCUUCUCGGUGCGCGUGCGCCGCCGGCUGCCGGACUUCCUGCAGUCGGUGAACCUCAAGUACGUGCGGCUCGGGUACCACUACCUGCUCAGCCACGGCGUGUACCUGGCCACCAUCCCGGUCAUCGUGCUGGUGUGCGGCGCCGAGGUGGGCAGCCUCAGCCGCGACGAGCUGUGGCGCAAGGUGUGGGACGAGGCCACCUACGACCUCGCCACCGUGCUCGCCUUCCUCGCCGUCCUCGCCUUCACCAUCUCCGUCUACAUCAUGUCCCGCCCCAGGCCCAUCUACCUCAUCGACUUCGCCACUUACAAGCCCGCCGACGAACUCAAGGUAGUAAGCUCAUCCAUCUCCUCAUGCUUUAGUUUGGUAAACAUGCUUACUGCUUAGCUAAUUACAGAGUAGAUCACUGCAUCUAUUUGCAUGCGAGCAUAUGUUAUACCCAUAGUAGUAGUAGUAGUACAUGCUAAAUGCCGAUCCGGGUCGUGUAGGAACAUGAAUCACAAGUGAAUUUAUUGGUAGGAUUUCUUUUUGCUAAUUAACUUCAAACACGAAACCUUGAUGGCAUUUUAGAUGUAGAAAAGUAUGGAAAAAGUUAGACCAGAGAAAUGUUUGGGAGUAUUAUCAGUUUCUUGGGCGGAAGAUCCAUCUCUCGAGGUCGACAUGUAUAAUCGCACAAGUCACGUUUGGCACACACGAAUUUUGCGUGAGACGUAUAGAUGGAUGGAACCCUAUGGAAUUCCCUCGCGUGCUAAUCUAGCUAUCUUGUGAACAGGACCUCCUCACUAGAUAACAUGAAUGCGAAAAACAUGUCCCAAAGUACUUCAGUUAGCCCUUUCUUUUCUUCUGUCGUAGAAAUAUUUGCUCUUCAUCUGAGAAAUAAUGCAAAACGCUAUGCAGCCGUGAUAAUCAAACCGAGUAAAAUGUUUGCGGGUAAAAAUAUUUUAGUAAUUCAUGGUUCAAAAGAUGAUUAGCACGGCCGGUAGACGGUGCUAACAAGGCUCACAAAAGAUGCAAACAAGAAACAAGUCCGAGCCGGAUUAGGCAGAGCUUCAUCUAAAAGUUGAAUGCAAUUAAACCGUGAGGCCCUAAAGUUAAUUUUCAUAAGCUGUCAUUCGAAAUCAGGUAGUACAGAAAAGUUUUUGGCAUUUUGGGUGAAAUAGACAACCAACAAAGUACACACGUAGCUAGCUGGUUGAAUAUACGAAAAUGCCGUUUGGAGGCCGAGCACCCUGGAGGCCGUAAUCUCGAGCGUCUGUCAUCAUAGCGAUCAGCUGCAGGCUCUCAUUAAUUUCACGUAUUCCAGCUCAUAGGCAUCCACUACACACUGUAUUCUUUAUUUACGUACAGUGUCAGCCCAUGUAUAGUCGAUGGUCCGCUGUCCGGCUGCUCAGACAUGCUAUCGAUUCACCCAUCACGUCCAGCCAGUGCGCGCACUAUAAGAACAUGGGCUGGCAUGCGCUCUCAUGUUCCCAUUCAGAUCCAUCUGUUUCAGAAUGUUGAGGCUCACGAUCAGGCCGUUUGGAGGCCAUCUGCUUGUACCAGCGAAGAACAGCACAGGCCAUGCCCGUUGCAACACAGCAAAAUCGCACAAGAACAGCACCGUAGCCAUGGCGUCGUCGUCUUCCUCAGCUCGUUCGAGACAUAGGUGGCAACAAGAACUAAUCACGAAAUAAGAUGAUUUUUCGCAAUGCGAAACACUACAAGUGCCAUCCCCAGGGGCUCGCUACCCAUACAUUUAACAAACAUCAAAAGAAUGAGACACGUGAGCAGGCUUCUUCUGAAUUUCACACGAAGACAGCUACAGAAAAUAUAUAGCAAACAUCAGGUGACAGGUUUAGAAAGAAGAACAAGGCAAGUCACCUCCUGGUCCAACAAGAUCCCUUUGACUUUGACACGACCACGCCGUCCUCCUCUCCAUCCUCUGAUGCCGUAUCACCGCUAAUAUUUCCAGUGCCUAGCUCACAUGAAUCAGCCACCCUUUGUACGAGCCGCAAUCCCUCUCGGUGACGAAUAUUUGUUCCGUCUGCUCAACUGCUUCGUAUUCCAGGGGUACCCAUCCCUACGCACUGGCUUGGAAGAAAUCAAGCCAUCUUGGACACCAGCAGUUCCGCUGGUCUCAUCAUCAAUCGAGGGCGCGUCGCCAACUCCAUCUCUCAAGACAACCUCGACAUCCAAAGGAGGAGCGAACCUGCCUAGAGAAACAACGUCGAGCCAGAUCUGAUUUUAGAUGAAGAAAUACGGAAAGCGACAAUCCAAACCACUUACAGACCAACUAGGGACAUCCCCAUACCGAAAAUAGGCGAAAAUCCAGAGUUAAACGGAACAUUACCCUGCAUCUGAUUUCUCGUAGAAGAACUCCAUGCCAUCCAUGGCGAAAGCGCGGAGCGCCUCUGCUCCAAUAUGCUCCAUCCUGCGCACUGCCUGGCCUCAUAAUGGUCAUCAAGCGAGCCCACAAGAUACAUUUACUCUCAAUCGACUGCAGUGGGCCAAAUUCAAAGCCGCCCACCGAGAACAUCAUGUUCGAGCGAGGCACCGGUUAAACGUAGGCCCAUGUACAAACCGUAAACACGACAGAGACGGCACCGGUGUAUUUCUUCUUACUAUCGAUCGUAUAUAGCUCUAAAGGCUGACUACACGCAUCCAGAUGUUAGAAACGGUCGACCGAGAUUACGGCCUCCAGGGUGCUCGGCCUCCAAAAUGCCUCUCUCUCUCUUCCAACUUUUCUGUUGCACAACUACUCUUCCACCUAUUGUUAUACGGCUACAUAUACCAGAAGGAGAGUAUAGCUAGUGGCUCGUUGAGAUUUUUUUUAAUUUUUUUUUUUGCGAAAGGCUCAUUGAGAAAUUUGGUAUAGAUAUAUGGCUCAAGCAAAACGAAAUUACUCCCUACCUCCCCAUACCCGUACCUGCCCCGGUCCCUCCUUUAAUACGUUGCCAGUCCUGGCCAGCUGCCACCAAUCAGAGUAGCCAUCAAUGUUGCAUUAACUUUGUAUAUACAGAGUAGUUUAAUGGGAGCAGUAUAAACUGGUGAGUAUCGGACCCGGCAUUAUCUGAUUAGGCGUAUCUGGGCCCGGCCCUUGUGAAUGAAUUAGUGAGUGGGGGCGUCCCGGAAGUUAUGGCGAUGGAUGGAUCGCCAUCGAGCAGGUAGAGGGAGGUUUCGGCUGGGGUACGUACGUCGGCCGGUCGUCCAAUACGGUUGGCAGCUCCCGCACACACGCACAAUCAAUGACCCGCCCACGAAACCAAUCUUCUUCUGAAAAUGAAAGAUUUUUUUUUCUUUUUUUAGAAAUUACAAUGUGCGUCUUGUUCACGUUGUGAUCUCGGCUCCGGCCGCUGGAUGGAUCGUUGGCGAGAAAAUGCAGGUCUCCAAGGCGGAGUUCAUCGACCUGGCGCGCAAGUCGGGCAAGUUCGACGAGGAGAGCCUGGCGUUCCAGGCGCGGCUUCUGGCCAAGUCCGGCAUCGGGGACGAGUCCUACAUGCCGCGCUGCGUCUUCCAGCCCGACGCCAACUGCGCCACCAUGAAGGAGGGCCGCGCCGAGGCCUCCGCCGCCAUGUUCGCCGCGCUCGACGAGCUCUUCGACAAGUGCCGCGUCCGCCCCAAGGACGUCGGCGUCCUCGUCGUCAACUGCAGCCUCUUCAACCCCACCCCGUCCCUCUCCGCCAUGAUCGUCAACCACUACAAGAUGCGCGGCAACAUCCUCAGCUACAACCUGGGGGGCAUGGGCUGCAGCGCCGGGGUCAUCUCCAUCGACCUCGCCCGCGACAUGCUCCAGGCCAGCGGCGCCGGGCUCGCCGUUGUGGUGAGCACCGAGGCGGUGUCGUUCACCUGGUACGCCGGGAAGCGCCGCUCCAUGCUCAUCCCCAACGCCUUCUUCCGCGCGGGCGCGGCCGCCGUGCUGCUGUCCAACCGCCGCAGGGACUUCCGCCGCGCCAAGUACCAGCUGGAGCACGUGGUGCGCACCCACAAGGGCGCCGACGACCGCGCCUUCCGCUCCGUGUACCAGGAGGAGGACGAGCAGCGGAUCAAGGGCCUGUCCAUCAGCCGCGACCUGGUGGAGGUCGGCGGCCACGCGCUCAAGACCAACAUCACCACCCUCGGCCCGCUGGUGCUCCCCUUCUCGGAGCAGCUCCUCUUCUUCGCCGGCGUGCUGUUCCGCCACCUCUACCCGUCCAAGACGUCCACCCCGCCGCCGCCGGCCGCCAACGGGGACACCUCGGCCGCCGCGCCCUACAUCCCGGACUUCAAGCGCGCGUUCGAGCACUUCUGCAUGCACGCGGCCAGCCGCGACGUGCUGGAGCACCUGCAGCGCAACCUGGGGCUCCGCGACGCCGACCUGGAGGCCUCCCGCGCCGCGCUGCACCGCUUCGGCAACACCUCCAGCAGCAGCAUCUGGUACGAGCUGGCCUACCUGGAGGCCAAGGGCCGCGUCCGCCGCGGUGACCGCGUGUGGCAGCUCGCCUUCGGCUCCGGGUUCAAGUGCAACAGCGCCGUGUGGCGCGCCGUCCGCCGCGUGCGCCGCCCGUCCAGGAGCCCGUGGCUGGACUGCGUCGACCAGUACCCGGCGCGCAUGGACGCCUGACCGACCGAGCGAGCGAAGCAGGCGCACGUGCUAAUAAUUAAGCGAGGUAAAGGAACACGUCGUCAUCGCACCCGCGUGGGUAAGUGCAGGCUAAUGGAAAUGAUGCUAUCGAUUUGCAUGUAACUGCAUGCAGUGCCGCUGGUUUAAGGUUUGAGCUUUGGUUAAUUUGUGCUGGUGUUGUAGCGGUUAUCUAUUAUUAAGGGGUUUAAUCAUAGACUACGUACCAUAAUGCGCAAGUGUAUGUGCGCGCUCUUGUGAAACUUAUGUGAACUUGAUUAUCUAUGUGCAAUUUCAUU